GGUAGCACAKAAGWAGCUYGCUYCUCYGGGUGACGAAGUGGCGGACGGGUGAGUAAUGUCUGGGAAACUYGCCCGAUGGAGGGGGAUAACUACUGGAAACGGUAGCUAAUACCGCAUAACGUCUUCGGACCAAAGUGGGGGACCUUCGGGCCUCACACCAUCGGAUGUGCCCAGAUGGGAUUAGCUAGUAGGUGGGGUAACGGCUCACCUAGGCGACGAUCCCUAGCUGGUCUGAGAGGAUGACCAGCCACACUGGAACUGAGACACGGUCCAGACUCCUACGGGAGGCAGCAGUGGGGAAUAUUGCACAAUGGGCGCAAGCCUGAUGCAGCCAUGCCGCGUGUAUGAAGAAGGCCUUCGGGUUGUAAAGUACUUUCAGUGGGGAGGAAGGCGAUGAAGUUAAUAACUUCGUCGAUUGACGUUACCCGCAGAAGAAGCACCGGCUAACUCCGUGCA
rnacentral:rRNA from 1 species